GCGACCAAGAAGUCAUGAUGAGCCUGUGCCACUGCGUCACCUAAAAGUCAAGAAAAUCAGCUAUGGACAAACACUAGCAGACACGAACAGUGACCUUGGACAGGAGAAUUUUGAUCCUCGACCAAUAAGUGACCGAGCAAAUCCAUCACUUGAACAGCUGGCCGAUUUUGCAGCCUCCCUGCACCAGAUAAAUCCGAAUGCUUGUGCCUUGGAGAGCCUACUUGAUCCCACUGACACAGAGACUCAAGCAACAAAA
rnacentral:lncRNA from 1 species